AGUGAACGCUGGCGGUAGGCCUAACACAUGCAAGUCGAACGGCAGCACAGUAAGAGCUUGCUCUUACGGGUGGCGAGUGGCGGACGGGUGAGGAAUACAUCGGAAUCUACUUUUUCGUGGGGGAUAACGUAGGGAAACUUACGCUAAUACCGCAUAUGACCUACGGGUGAAAGCAGGGGAUCUUCGGACCUUGCGCGAUUGAAUGAGCCGAUGUCGGAUUAGCUAGUUGGCGGGGUAAAGGCCCACCAAGGCGACGAUCCGUAGCUGGUCUGAGAGGAUGAUCAGCCACACUGGAACUGAGACACGGUCCAGACUCCUACGGGAGGCAGCAGUGGGGAAUAUUGGACAAUGGGCGCAAGCCUGAUCCAGCCAUGCCGCGUGGGUGAAGAAGGCCUUCGGGUUGUAAAGCCCUUUUGUUGGGAAAGAAAAGCAGCAGGUUAAUACCCCGCUGUUCUGACGGUACCCAAAGAAUAAGCACCGGCUAACUUCGUG
rnacentral:rRNA from 1 species